AGUUAUUAGUUCGCUAUUCGAUACGUGCGAUUUAGGUGCGCUUACUUUACCUACUGGCAGCCCUGUGAUGUCGGCGUAGCGGGGCGGAGCGCGGCGCAUCCCGGGAACAAAGCAGCGCCAGCGCCACUCGCCGCGAGCGUAGCAACCGACACGUCUUGAUACUUUGUGUUUAUAAUAUAAAUAGUUAGUGUGUGAGGUGGCAGCCCUGUGAUGUCGGCGUAGCGGGGCGGAGCGCGGCGCAGCCCGGGAACAAAGCAGCGCCAGCGCCACUCGCCGCGAGCGUAGCAACCGACACGUCUUGAUACUUUGUGUUUAUAAUAUAAAUAGUUAGUGUGUGAGGUGGCAGCCCUGUGAUGUCGGCGUAGCGGGGCGGAGCGCGGCGCAGCCCGGGAACAAAGCAGCGCCAACGCCACUCGCCGCGAGCGUAGCAACCGACACGUCUUGAUACUUUGUAUAUAGUGUGACUGUAAAUUAGUGAGUGAUACUUAAAAACGUGAAUGUGCUCAUGAUUAAAAACAACUUAAGCUUUUUUAUACUCAUUACAUUAA